GCAACACAAUUGCCAGACUUUCCUGCCACCAAAAGGAGGAAUCAUCAUCUAAUAAUUGGAUUGCGGGGGGUAAGGCCUUGGGCCCCCAGGCAGUAUCUGGACAUACCCCACCUGUACCCACCAGCAGGGACAGAGACAGCAGGAAGGCUAUUGGGCUCUCAAGCCCUGGACUAUGUGCCCUCCUGACCCCAUGCCCCUGCCUGGGGAAAGGGAGCAGUGAGGACGGAAGUGGAGAGUUGGUGAUCCUGGGCUCCCCUGGCCCUCUGUCAAGCUCUGGCUCUCUCUUGUCUACUGUUCCAGAUCCCCACCUCUGCAGGGCCCCAGGCCUGUUCAGCCAGACCCUGCUCCUCUUGCAACCAACAAGGGAAUCAAAUUUCCCCCAGGCUGGCUGGGGCCCUACUUGGGUAUCUCCACUAUGGGCAGUUUGUCUCCACAGCAUGACACCCUGUGAGCCCAUGGGCCCAUUACUGUUCCCUGCAGCUCUGCCCUGUGAGGCCCCAUCCUGGUCUCCAAGGCAAAAUGGGGGCCCUUGAACCCACAUGCCCCCAGCCAAGACCCUGGAGAGAGUUUGGAAACUUCGUAGGAAGUUGUGGGAGACACCUUGGUUUGUUUGCUUUUGUUUUGGGGUUCUUAAAUUUAGGGAUUCCACCCUUAUCUUGUGCAGACACAAAUCAGAUUUUUGUAAUUGCAGAUAGAUGGAAGUGUUUGGGCAUCAGAGGAAGGUUCCACUGGCCCUUCAUCCAGUGGGACCUUCUACACACAGCUAUUACGUUCUGCUCGCAAUGGAGACACCCAAGUAGGUUCCACUAGCCCUGUCCCACAAGAGCCCAGCUAUUGCCUGGCAGUAUUUCUUUACCAAGAACUGGGCUGCCUUGGGGACCAGGUGGGUGAGCACAAGGGAUGCCUGGCCUCUCUGUCCUGAGACCCCCCUUAAUUAUGACCCUUACAGCCAUGUCCACCAGCAACCUGGCAGGCAAGACAAUGGCACAACCUCCUUUCACUGCAUUUAGGGAGAAAAGGGCUGGCCUCUCUCUGAAGGAGUGCAGAAAAUACACAUUAUUCAAGCAAGUUAGCAUGAGGCAAGCCUAGAGCUUUUACACAGGGCUGG
rnacentral:lncRNA from 1 species